GCCAGGUUGUAAUAGGCUGCUGCUGGCCGGACCGGGUUGGUGCCCGGAGAGGAUUGUCUGGGAACGAGCGUGGGGUGCUAGUGUUGUACUUAACGUUUCCAACUCCUGAAGUGGAAAUGUGUGAGUUCCUGCUUGAAGUUGUUGAUCUUCCCAUUUUGAAUAGCUACUGUUGGGAUGACUGUCCACAUUUGAAGCUGGAAAUGGAGCCGUGGUUCAAGUGGAA